rnacentral:rRNA from 1 species
AGAGCGAACGCUGGCGGCAGGCUUAACACAUGCAAGUCGAGCGGGCGUAGCAAUACGUCAGCGGCAGACGGGUGAGUAACACGUGGGAACGUACCCUUCGGUUCGGAAUAGCUCCGGGAAACUGGAAUUAAUACCGGAUACGCCCUUACGGGGAAAGAUUUAUCGCCGAAGGAUCGGCCCGCGUCUGAUUAGCUAGUUGGUGGGGUAAUGGCCCACCAAGGCUACGAUCAGUAGCUGGUCUGAGAGGAUGAUCAGCCACAUUGGGACUGAGACACGGCCCAAACUCCUACGGGAGGCAGCAGUGGGGAAUAUUGGACAAUGGGCGCAAGCCUGAUCCAGCCAUGCCGCGUGAGUGAUGAAGGCCUUAGGGUUGUAAAGCUCUUUCGUCAGGGAAGAUAAUGACGGUACCUGAAGAAGAAGCCCCGGCUAACUUCGCGCCAGCAGCCGC